UACGGAGGAUCCGAGCGUUAUCCGGAUUUAUUGGGUUUAAAGGGUGCGCAGGCGGGAGAUUAAGUCGGCGGUGAAAUUUUGCAGCUCAACUGUAAAAGUGCCUUCGAAACUGGUUUCCUUGAGUGUAGAUGAAGUAGGCGGGAUUUGUGGUGUAGCGGUGAAAUGCAUAGAUAUCACGAGGAACUCCGAUUGCGCAGGCAUCUUACUAAACUACUACUGACGCUCAGGCACGAAGGCGUGGGGAUCAAACAGGAUUAGAUACCCUGGUA
rnacentral:rRNA from 1 species